rnacentral:lncRNA from 1 species
AUUUUGCAUCAGAAUGUCGCACGGUGAGGCAGUCAGCGGGCAGCAGGCUGAGCGUGCGCUCAGGCUCUCGGCAGCUAGCAUUGCUGAAGAUGCAGGCUGCUGCGUUCCGGCUUCGCAGAGCUUUGUAAAGUUUCCCUGGAUGACCGCAAAGGUGAGUUUGUUAUCACCCAUCCCGUUCAGUCAGGGAUUGAAGACAACUUGCUCGCUGGUGAAGGCGCGUGCAGCAGAAUACGAGCGUCCCACAAAAUCCCAAAACUGAACUCAUGAUCUGGAAUCAGAUCUUUGCAAGGAAGAAUGAGGCAAGUGAAUGUUUUCUUCUGUUUCUCUUUUUGACUUGUUUCUUCACAGCUGCCUUUUAAAAUUCUCUUUAGUCUGUGCAGUGGGAAGUUCCUAAUCAUCUUUUGAGAGGCUUAUAAAAUAUUAGGAAAAAGUCUGAUGUCCGAAGAUGGUAGGACUCUCAAAUCCACAGUUCUUGAAGCAUACUUACUUAGUUCCAUAAAAGAAAUAAAAAUACAAAACGAUACUUUAGUCUUCCUGUGUGUAAGCGUUACAAUUCUGAAUAUAGCAUUAGAAAUAUUACCUAAAUCAUUCCUUUGGUUUCCAGAAGACUUUACAUCUGGCAGCAACACACAGCACAUUACAGAACGUUCUGGAAAACAUGAAAGUCCAUCAAAGCUUCAUCUUCUGCACAUGGAGGAUCAUGCUGAAGUACAAGAGCGUGAAGUCAGAGCUACAGAGAGCCUGCAAAGCCCAGUGCCAGCGGAAAGAGAGAACAAUUCUCCGGCAAACUCUUGCAUACCCAACAAAAGCAAACUUAAGGAGUAAAAGAAGAAGAGAACACUUUGUGGAUCAAAAUACGAAAGUUGAAAACAGACCAGAUGUUAUUAGCAACAUACUUAAAUGGACUGUUGAACAUAAUGAAAUUAAACUUGUUUUGUUAAAUCUAUUUUUAAACUUAUUUUAAACAUUGUUUUUUGGAAGCGUUUGAUAACUAGCAAAAAAACACCCUGGGUGUGUGAUGCCGCUUUGGCUGCCUGCCACUAACCACACCUAUGAGGAGAAGAGUUUUCUCAGUAUCUGCACAUCCUGUGCUCUGUUGCUACUAAUAUAAAAUUGACUUUUAUGAAGAUUUUUUUAUGUUGCUUGCUCUUAUCCCUAUAAAAAAUAUCAAAAUUGCAGAGAAUCUUUUAAACUAUCACCAAAUGGCUGUUUACAUUAACAUGGCCAUGCCCAGUCACGAAUGAAGAUAACAGGAAUUUACCUGAAGGUAUAAUUUAAAAAAAAACAUAUAAAUUAGGGAAUGUAAAUAAAACCAUUUCUAAAAAUACA